UAGAAAGUAGUAUAACGGCAAUACAGAGAACUUUGACUUCUCAAAUAUAAGCUCAAACCUUGUCUCUCUAA
rnacentral:tRNA from 1 species